GACGAACGCUGGCGGCGUGCCUAAUACAUGCAAGUCGAACGAGAGCGCCCGGUGCUUGCCCUGGUCAAUCUAGUGGCGAACGGGUGAGUAACACGUGGGUAACCUGCCCAUCAGAGGGGGAUAACAUCCGGAAACGGAUGCUAAAACCGCAUAGGUCUUCGAACCGCAUGGUUUGAAGAGGAAAAGAGGCGCAAGCUUCUGCUGAUGGAUGGACCCGCGGUGCAUUAGCUAGUUGGUGAGGUAACGACUCACCAAGGCCGUGAUGCAUAGCCGACCUGAGAGGGUGAUCGGCCACAUUGGGACUGAGACACGGCCCAAACUCCUACGGGAGGCAGCAGUAGGGAAUCUUCCGCAAUGGACGCAAGUCUGACGGAGCAACGCCGCGUGAGUGAAGAAGGUUUUCGGAUCGUAAAACUCUGUUGUUAGAGAAGAACAAGUGCUAGAGUAACUGUUAGCGCCUUGACGGUAGCUAACCAGAAAGCCACGGCUAACUACGUG
rnacentral:rRNA from 1 species